UACAGAGGGGGCAAGCGUUGUUCGGAAUUACUGGGCGUAAAGGGCGCGUAGGCGGCCUGCUAAGUCGAACGUGAAAUCCCCGGGCUCAACCCGGGAACUGCGUCCGAUACUGGCAGGCUUGAAUCCGGGAGAGGGAUGUGGAAUUCCAGGUGUAGCGGUGAAAUGCGUAGAUAUCUGGAGGAACACCAAUGGCGAAGGCAGCUCGCUGGGACGGUACUGACGCUGAGGCGCGAAAGCGUGGGGAGCAAACAGG
rnacentral:rRNA from 1 species